ensembl:snoRNA LOC120103332 small nucleolar RNA SNORA17
CUUAUUCCUGGAUGCACUACAGAUGUCGCUGCUGGGUCACCUAUGUAUCAGCAGGUAGCAGAGAGGAGAGACUAUGUGUACACUUAUUUUUCUGAUUUAUAAACACCUGAAUGAUUAGUCUAACAUU